AUCUGGGAGCUGGGUGGCAGUAUUGUAGCCAAUGAGGUUUAUCUGAGGAACAAUUAUUGCUAAUUGAAAGUGGAAUAUAAGGGACUUGAACUAUCUACUCCAGUAGGAAGUAUGGGUACUCCCAACAGAUGG
rnacentral:snRNA from 1 species